AACGAACGCUGGCGGCGCGCCUAAUACAUGCAAGUCGAGCGAGAAAGUGUAGCAAUACACUUGUAAAGCGGCGAACGGGUGAGGAAUACAUGGGUAAUCUACCAUCGAGUGGGGAAUAACCAACCGAAAGGUUGGCUAAUACCGCGUACGCCUCCGAGCCUUCGGGUUCGGAGGGAAAGCUGCACUGUGAGUGUAGCGCUCUUUGAUGAGCUCAUGUCCUAUCAGCUUGUUGGUAGGGUAAUGGCCUACCAAGGCUUUGACGGGUAGCUGGUCUGAGAGGACGAUCAGCCACACUGGCACUGCGACACGGGCCAGACUCCUACGGGAGGCAGCAGUAAGGAAUAUUGCGCAAUGGGCGAAAGCCUGACGCAGCGACGCCGCGUGGGGGAGUGAAGGUCUUCGGAUUGUAAACCCCUUUCGGGUAGGGAAGGAAUGGAGCGAGCAAUCG
rnacentral:rRNA from 1 species